CAUAGCGACUAUCGUGGCAUAUCAAUAAGCGGAGGAAAAGAAACUAACAAGGAUUCCCUUAGUAACGGCGAGUGAAGCGGGAAGAGCUCAAAUUUGAAAUCUUCAAGGUUCUACCUUGACGAAUUGUAGUUUAUAGAAGUGUUUUCUGUUAGUAGAGUGGCAAAAGUUCUUUGGAAUAGGACAUCAUAGAGGGUGAGAAUCCCGUAUUUGGUCAUUCUUUCUAGCUUUGUGAUACACUUUCAACGAGUCGGAUUGUUUGGGAAUGCAGUCCAAAAUGGGUGGUAAAUUUCAUCUAAAGCUAAAUAUUGGCGAGAGACCGAUAGCGAACAAGUACCGUGAGGGAAAGAUGAAAAGAACUUUGAAAAGAGAGUUAAACAGUACGUGAAAUUGUCAAAAGGGAAGCGUUUGACACCAGUGUUGCUUUUCCGAAAAUCAAUUACGAAUGUUUUAUUUUUGAGGAGUUAUGACUUCAUCGGCUUGCUCCUUUCUUUACUGAAACUUUCUUAAUGCACUUUUCGGUUGACAAGUCAACAUCAAUUUCUUUUGUUGUAAAAGGGUAUGAGGAAGGUGGCUUUCUUUUCGGAGAAAGUGUUUAUAGCCUUGUGCCUCUGCAAUCGGAGAGAUUGAGGUCUGCAGCGUAGAUCCUUCGGGGUUAGAUACGUUUGUGCUAAGUUAUAGCUUUUCAUAGACAACUUGUUGACUAUGUUUAGUCUUGUAGCUUACUCGCUGACGCUAUUUUACCUACGCUUAGGAUGUUGAUAGUCACAGCGUGUAC
rnacentral:rRNA from 1 species